rnacentral:tRNA from 1 species
GCGGAAGUGGCGGAAUUGGUAGACGCACCAGAUUUAGGUUCUGGCGCCGCAAGGUGUGAGAGUUAAAGUCUCUCCUUCCGCACCA